rnacentral:rRNA from 1 species
UUUCACCAUCGACGAAGGGUUUCUGACGGUAGAUGGAGAAGAAGCACCGGCUAACUACGUGCCAGCAGCCGCGGUAAUACGUAGGGUGCGAGCGUUGUCCGGAAUUACUGGGCGUAAAGAGCUCGUAGGUGGUUUGUCGCGUCGUCUGUGAAAUUCCGGGGCUUAACUCCGGGCGUGCAGGCGAUACGGGCAUAACUUGAGUACUGUAGGGGAG